GAUGAAGAACGUAGCGAAAUGCGAUAAGUAAUGUGAAUUGCAGAAUUCAGUGAAUCAUCGAAUCUUUGAACGCACAUUGCACCCCUUGGUAUUCCGAGGGGCAUGCCUGUUCGAGCGUCAUUAUAACCCUCAAGCUCAGCUUGGUGUUGGGGCCUGCUGCACUGGCAGCCCUUAAAAUCAGUGGCGGCGCCAUCUGGCUCUAAGCGUAGUAAUUCUUCUCGCUAUGGAGUCCUGGUGGAUGCUUGCCAUCAACCCCCAAUUUUUCUAUGGUUGACCUCGGAUCAGGUAGGGAUACCCGCUGAACUUAAGCAUAUCAAUAAGCGGAGGA
rnacentral:misc_RNA from 1 species